AGAGUUUGACCCUGGCUCAGGAUGAACGCUAGCGGAACGCCUAACACAUGCAAGUCGAACGGAUUCUGCGUUGUAGCAAUACAUAGUAGAAUUAGUGGCAAACGAGCGAGUAACGCGUGCCUAACCUGCCCUUAAGAUGGGAACAACUACGGAGACGUAGCUAAAUCCCAAUAUGCUCACGAUGGUGAAAUGCCGAUGCGAGGAAAGAUUUAUCGCUUAAGGAGGGGGGCGCGUCCUAUCAGGUAGUUGGUUGAGGUAACGGCUCACCAAGCCUAUGACAGGUAGCUGGUCUGAGAUGAUGUCCAGCCGCGAUGGGACUGAGAUACGGCCCAUACUCCUACGGGAGGCAGCAGUGGGGAAUCUUGCACAAUGGACGAAAGUCUGAUGCAGCGAUCCCGCGUGAAGGAUGAAGCAUUACGGUGUGUAAACUUCUUUUUUGGUGGAAGACGAAUGACGGUACACCAAGAAUAAGAGACGGCUAACUACGUGCCAGCAGCCGCGGUAAUACGUAGGUCUCAAGCGUUAUCCGGAUUUACUGGGCGUAAAGUAUCCGUAGCCUGAUAUGUAAGUCUGUUUUCAAAUCCCACGACUCAAUCGUGGAAAGGGAAUGGAUACUGCAUAUCUAGAAGUUAUUGGGGGUUAGUGGAAUUUCCGGUGGAGCGGUGAAAUGCGUUGAUAUCGGAAAGAACGCCGAAAGCGAAAGCAGCUAACUAUGAUUAACUUGACGGUGAGGGAUGAAAGUUUGGGUAGCAAACGGGAUUAGAUACCCCGGUAGUCCAAACUGUAAAUUAUGCUUGCUAGGUGUUUCGAUCCUUGUGGUCGGAGUGCCGUAAUCUAACGAGUUAAGCAAGUCGCCUGGGUAGUAUAUUCGCAAGAAUGAAACUCAAAGGGAUAGGCGGGGGAACACACAAGCAGUGGAUUAUCUAGAUUAAUUGGAUAAUAAGCCAAGAAUCUUACCUAGAAUUGACAUGCAAUGUGUCUCAUAUGAAAGUAUGAUAUUUGUAGCAAUACAGAGCUUUGCACAGGUGGUGCAUGGUCGUCGUCAGCUCGUGCCGCAAGGUGUCUAGUUAAGUCUGGAAACGAGCGCA
rnacentral:rRNA from 1 species